rnacentral:rRNA from 1 species
CCCGCUGAUCUUGAGCAUAUCAAUAAGGCGAGGAACAGACACCAGCAGGGAUUCUCCCAGUAGUGACGAAUGAAGCGGGAAAUGCUCAUGUUUGAAAUCCAAGGUCCUUCCCUUGGAGUAGUAAUCUGUAGAGGUGUCGACCGACGUGUUCUGGCCCCAAUUUUCUCGGAACACGAGGUCAUAUAGAGUGAGAGCCUCGUCUGUGGCUCGGGUGCCUAGUCUCUGUGUCGUGUCCUCGCAGAGUCGGAUUGUUUGGGAAUGCAGCUCAAAAUUGGUGGUUAAUUUCAUCUAAAACUAAAUAUUGGCGAGAGGCCGAUAGCAAACAAGUAGAGUGAUCGAAAGAUGAAAAGUACUUUGAAAAGAGAGUGAAACAGUACGUGAAAUUGUUGAAAGGGAAGCGUUUGGCAUCAACCCGUGGCGCCCGUCGAUCAGCCGAGCUUCUGUUCGGUGCACUUGACGGGCGUCGGGCCAGCGUCGGCUCCGUCUGCCGGAGAAAAGCCUCUCGAAUGUGUCACCCCUCCCGGGUCCUUUAUAGCCCUUUGCUUCAUUCCGCCCUGUCGGGCCCAAGUACCCCGCUUAUCCUAGGACGCUGGCGUAAUGGUCGUAAGCGACCCGUCUUGAAACACGG